UGAGGCGCUUUUGCGUCAAACGGUUUCUUUAUUUGCUAUGGAUAAGGGCGAAGGUGGACCAAUUGCGCUCACAUCCACUAGAGGAGACUGUUGGGAGAGGAUCCGGAUAGCUAUCCACUUUAAAUUUCUCGCGGAUCCGCCAAAAUGCACCCACCAUUCAGCUGCAAAAAUAUUUAUGAAAAUUACAUAUAUGAUAGUUCCAUAAUAGUAACUAAGUAACACCAGGUGAAUGUUUUCCUGAUGUGUCACGUACCUGGAUUCAUAUUGUGUUUGCUGACGACAGCCGCUCGUUAGCCAAAACUGUAGCUGCCCUCUCUAAAUAAUUUGCUCU
rnacentral:lncRNA from 1 species